AAAUUAGUAUCAUAUACGACAUUAUUUAUUACCCUGCAUGAUACAUAGUAGCAUAGCAUUUAACAUGUUACGGUAUUUACCUAUGUUACUCCAACCCUCUCUCUCAUGUUUAAUUGUGUGCCACAUCAGCAUGUUUGUAGUCUCAAGAACAUGAUACUACCUAAGUUACUCCCACUAUGACCAGCCUAAGAUGACGGAGGGAGUACAAGACAUUUACAGACCUUUUCAAUUGUUGACUGGUGGGGCACUCGCGACAGACCAGCCAGAGCCCACAGGGCACCCUCCCAUACAUCGCGUACAAACACAAU
rnacentral:lncRNA from 1 species